AGAGUUUGAUCCUGGCUCAGGAUGAACGCUAGCUACAGGCUUAACACAUGCAAGUCGUGGGGCAGCGGAUACUUAGCUUGCUAAGUAUGCCGGCGACCGGCGCACGGGUGAGUAACGCGUACCGAACCUGCCCAUCACACAGGGAUAGGCUUGCGAAAGCAAGAUUAAUACCUGAUGGUCUCAGUUGUAUGCAUGUAUGAUUGAGUAAAGCCUUCGGGCGGUGAUGGAUGGCGGUGCGUCCCAUUAGGAAGUUGGCGGGGUAACGGCCCACCAAUCCUUCGAUGGGUAGGGGUUCUGAGAGGAAGGUCCCCCACAUUGGAACUGAGAUACGGUCCAAACUCCUACGGGAGGCAGCAGUGAGGAAUAUUGGUCAAUGGGCGAGAGCCUGAACCAGCCAAGUAGCGUGCGGGAUGAAGGCCCUUGUGGUCGUAAACCGCUUUUAUCAGUGAAUAAAGUGCAUCACGUGUGGUGUCAUUGCAGGUAGCUGAAGAAAAAGGACCGGCUAAUUCCGUGCCAGCAGCCGCGGUAAUACGGAAGGUCCGGGCGUUAUCCGGAGUUAUUGGGUUUAAAGGGAGCGCAGGCGGGAGUAUAAGUCAGCUGUUAAAUAUCAGGGCCCAACUCUGUUAUGCAGUUGAAACUAUAUUUCUUGAGUACGCACAGGGAUGGCGGAAUUCAGGGUGUAGCGGUGAAAUGCUUAGAUAUCCUGAAGAACUCCGAUCGCGAAGGCAGCCAUCCGGAGCGUAACUGACGCUGAGGCUCGAAGGUGCGGGUAUCGAACAGGAUUAGAUACCCUGGUAGUCCGCACGGUAAACGAUGAAUACUCGCAGUUCGGCCGUUUAUGGUCGAGUUGUCCAGCGAAAGCGUUAAGUAUUCCACCUGGGGAGUACGCCGGCAACGGUGAAACUCAAAGGAAUUGACGGGGGCCCGCACAAGCGGAGGAACAUGUGGUUUAAUUCGAUGUGCUGCAUGGUUGUCGUCAGCUCGUGCCGUGAGGUGUCGGCUUAAGUGCCAUAACGAGCGCAACCCUUUUCUACGUUUGCCAUCGGGUAAUGCCGGGAACUCCGUGGAUACUGCCGCCGCAAGGCGGAGGAAGGUGGGGAUGACGUCAAAUCAGCACGGCCCUUACGUCCGGGGCUACACACGUGUUACAAUGGUCGGAGCAGCAGGAAGCUACCUGGCGACAGGAUGCUGAUCCCGAAACCCGGCCUCAGUUCGGACUGGAGUCUGCAACCCGACUCCACGAAGCCGGAUUCGCUAGUAAUCGCGCAUCAGCCAUGGCGCGGUGAAUACGUUCCCGGGCCUUGUACACACCGCCCGUCAAGCCAUGAAAGCCGGGGGUGCCUGAA
rnacentral:rRNA from 1 species